rnacentral:rRNA from 1 species
GCAGUCGCCGCGGUAAUACGAAGGGGGCUAGCGUUGCUCGGAAUCACUGGGCGUAAAGGGUGCGUAGGCGGGUCUUUAAGUCAGGGGUGAAAUCCCGGAGCUCAACUCCAGAACUGCCUUUGAUACUGAAGAUCUUGAGUUCGGGAGAGGUGAGUGGAACUGCGAGUGUAGAGGUGAAAUUCGUAGAUAUUCGCAAGAACACCAGUGGCGAAGGCGGCUCACUGGCCCGAUACUGACGCUGAGGCACGAAAGCGUGGGGAGCAAACAGGAUUAGAUACCCCUGUAGUCCCUGUCUCUUAUAC